rnacentral:rRNA from 1 species
GACGAACGCUGGCGGCGUGCUUAACACAUGCAAGUCGAACGGUAAGGCCCUUCGGGGUACACGAGUGGCGAACGGGUGAGUAACACGUGGGUGAUCUGCCCUGCACUUCGGGAUAAGCCUGGGAAACUGGGUCUAAUACCGGAUAGGACUCCUGGCUUCAUGGUUGGGGGUGGAAAGCUUUUGCGGUGUGGGAUGGGCCCGCGGCCUAUCAGCUUGGUGGUGGGGGAAUGGCCUACCAAGGCGACGACGGGUAGCCGGCCUGAGAGGGUGACCGGUCACACUGGGACUGAGAUACGGCCCAGACUCCUACGGGAGGCAGCAGUGGGGAAUAUUGCACAAUGGGCGCAAGCAUGAUGCAGCGACGCCGCGUGAGGGAUGACGGCCUUCGGGUUGUAAACCUCUUUCAGCUAUGACGAAGCGCAAGUGACGGUAGUAGCAGAAGAAGGACCGGCCAACUACGUGCCAGCAGCCGCCGUAACAC